GUUCACCUAAUUAAUUGAUUAAACACAAGAAAAAUGAACGACGAGCCCUAAGUCCCAAACCAAACGCGAUGUUCAUCUUUCUUCUUCUGUUUCAACCGCGUUUGAACUCGCCAAACCUCAGGCGAGCGAGCUCAAUUUCACUUCACACGCACUUUAUCUCACCACAUCAACAAGAUUCUAACGGCUUCUGACAUUUUUUUACUCUCUCAUCUGCUUAAUUUAUUUUGGAAUUUCUAAAGAAUGAAUCCGAAAAAUAGGAGCCAUGGAUUGAUUUAAGGAUCGAUCCUCUACUUCCAUCUGUCGGGGUUCAUUCUAGAAGAGAUCGAUUUCCGGAUUUCUUGUGAAAAAAAGGAAAAUUUCGAGAAAGGGGCUAUAUAUAACGAGGGCUGGUUUCAGGUAAGGGGGGCGAUUUCUGAUAAAACUUGGGAGAGCAAAAAUGGGAGAAGAGGUUUAAGAAUUUUUGGAGGUUUCUUUUUUUGGGUUUUUCUCUUUAGAAACAUUAUUCUUCUUAUUUUCAAUUGUUCUUUUAGUUUCAUGGCAUCCGAACAGAGAAAAGGGACAUAGAGUUUUAAUUCCGAGUUUCAAAAUUUUGUUUCUUCAUAUUUUAGGGAUACAAAACAAAACACAAAAAGAAAAAAAAUUGUUUCUUUUCAUCUACUACGCUCCAAUCCGAAAAUGGAUUCCGCUAUUGGAUAUCGAUUUUAAAUCUAUUUUCUUAAGCAUGGGGAUUAUUUGAAGUGUUGAAGCUGAGAUUGAGUACUCUUUCUUCCUUUGUUUUGAGACUGAUUUUCUGGGAGUUCAUGUGUUUCAUUGAGUUGUAUUGAUGCUGUUCGUGGUGGUUAGUCCCUGCUUUGCGGUUUGUUUGAUUUUCAGUGCUGGAUUUCCGAUUGUAUAUUCACAAUCAAAGUUUAAUCGAAAGCUCAACUUUAGGUUCAUUUACUUAUUCUUUCUCUUAUUUUGUUUGUGGUGUGAUUAAAAUGUGGUAAGAACCUUAGAUUUAUUAGUUUUGCGAGUUGUUUGCGAUUUGGGUGCAGGGGUCGAUUGGUGAAUUAUUUGAGUACACUAUCUGGUAUACUUGACCUUGUUGCAACAUUUUGAGGUUGUGUUUGAUAUUUGCUCUUAGUCUUAUAUGAUUCAAUUUGGGUUUGUCAAAUAACAUGUUUAGUUGGUGAGUAAGAAUGGAUAAGUCGCAAUUUAGUUUCUGAAUUAAGCUAUUGGCAAUACGUUCACUGACGCAUUGGUUUAUUGUCUGAAUAUGCUUCUCUCUAUUGGUUUGGAUCGACUCGUUAUUAAGUACUUAAUAUGUUCGUCUUCGCUAGUAUCUGCUUGACAUUUGCCUCGAGUUGCUUCCUUUCCUCCAUGUGGAAAUGCGUUCUGAUCUUCAUGCCGUCAAAACUAUGCAUAUACUGUAUUCAUGAAGCAGUUCCUUUGAGUAUUUUGUUUGUUUUCUUGAGGUUGUAUUUGAAAUACGUUACUUAAAUCCUAAAGAUAAUUCUUACUAAUUCUUCUUGAGUUCUUAGGAUAGUAAUAUUGCCUAGGUUGAAUCUGAGGGAUCCAUGUAGUAUCAUUCCUUUAGCUUGAAUUCAUAUGCGUUGAAUCUUCUUAAUGUGGUCGGUUUUCUCAUUUGCACAAGUUCCUUUUACUGACCAGAGGUGGGUAGAGAAUUGAAGUAGUUGCUUGCUCUAUUGCUUUAAGUUUCAUGUCACAUGCGAGAAAAUGUUUAUCUCAUGGAUGACCUGGGCUCUUAUGACACAAUCAGUAUGGUGUCAUUAUUAAGUUCGAUUUGCUUUAGUUAUUUGAAGUUCUUCGUGUAGUUUAACUCAGUUACUUUUGUUAUAAUUAGAACGAAUUGCGGUGCGCCGCGCCAAAAAAAGUCACACAUUGCGUGGCCCUAUUUAAUAGUUUUUUAAAAUACUUAGAAUUCGAGUGUGCCAUUUAGCAAAUUUUCAUGGCCCUCGCAAAGUUAAGACGCGUAGUUGCUUUAGGCGCGUAUUUUAAUAAUAUUACCUUUCUAAACUCGGGUGUGCAUUUCAUGUGACCCAAAUCAAAUCUCUUUAAUAAUAUUACCUUUCUAAACUCGGGUAUGCAUUUCAUGUGACCCAAAUCAAAUCUCAAAAUGUUGAAUAAAGUGUGUUUAGGAUUGCAGGUGCAUUUUAUAUGACACGCUCCGAAGGCACGCUUUAAACGUCGUUCACCUUUCUUUUAAAUAAACAUGGUUUAAAAGUAAAAUUGGCACAUAGGCUCUUCACGUAAUGAAAUCAGACAAAUUAGAUAAAUACAAUAGUUAAGCGACCGUGCUAGAACACCGGAACCGGGAAUGCCUAACACCUUCUCCCGGGUUAACUGAAUUUUUUAUCCAAAUUUCUGGUUCGUGGACUGUUAACAGUGUCAUAAUUCCUCGGUUCGGGAUUCAACCGGUGACUUGGGACACCAUUAAUCUCCCAAGUGGCGACUCUGAAUAAUUAAUAACCAAAUCCUGUUCGAUUGUCCUUUAAUUGGAAAAAACUCCUGUAUGCCCCUUUGCGGGGGUGUAGGUGAAAAAUGGGGUGUGACAGCUCUGGCGACUCUGCUAGGGAAAAGAACCUAGAACAUUUUUUUCAUGGUUCAGAAUCGAGCUUAGAUAAAUUGUUGUAUUUGGCUAUAUCUGAUUUUCCUACAUGUUUCAUGCUUAAUGUGCUAAACAUUACAUUUUUUAUAUUAUCUGAAUUGUAUAUAAACUGUGCCGAAACCCUUCUCUCUUCACCUACAGGGAUGUGCUUACUGGCUGAGACUCCCUAUUUUGUUACUGUCAUACCCUGAAAUAAGAAAGAGGCUGGAUAAGUUGCAAAGCCAGAUGAUCUCGCAGGUUACCGGUACGCUGCCCCCUCCUCGAUUCGAGUUGUCCGCUCGGAUACACAGUCUAGAACACAUACCCAGGUUUUGAACCUAGAAUAACGUGACUUCAUGCUGGAUCCCUAGUAGGAGCGCUUAUUUAUACCAUGCUGCAUUUGACGGAGGGGACUCAACACAAGGGUUGGGUCUGUCUAGGGCUAGCAACCUGAAAUGAAAAAGACCAUCCUGAUGCAUCAUACUUGCUAUUUACAUAUAUUUGUUUCGAACAUGCAUGUUGAACGGUUUCUAAAUCUCGGGAAUGUUGGAAAAGUUGAAAAAAAAAAGAUAAAAGAGAUAAAUAACAGUUAGGGAGUUAAUUGAUCAUUUUAGGAAAAAUCAAUGCCCAAAUACUGUCGAAACUCUGUCAAAAUUUUGAGGAAAAAAAAGAAAAUAUUUUAUUUUUAAUAGUUUGUUUUACUAAAAGUAAAGGAAAAUAGAAAAAAAUAGACUUUCAUUUUUGAAAAAUUGUUUGCUGGAAAGAAAAAAGAAAAAGAGUCUUUUACUUUGGAAAAAUAGGUUGUUUUAUUGUUCGUUGAAAAAUAAAAAAAUGAGUCUUUUAUUUUUAAUUAGAAAAAAUAGGUUUUCUGUUGAAAAGAAAAAGAAAGAAAAAAAAGAGUCUUAUUUUUAAAAUAGUUUUUUAUGAAAUGCCAAAAAUAAAGAAAAGAGUCGUGAUUUUAAGUGAUUUUGAUAGUUGUUUUUGAAAUGCCAAAAAUGAAAUCAAAAGGAGUCUUGUUUCUAAAAAUAGUUUUUAUUUGUUUAUGAAAUGUCAAAAAUGAAAAUGAAAAGAGUCUUGUUUUAAAAUGGUUCGGUUAAUUUGUCCGAACUAUGCAUGGUUUGAUUCUCACAGGGCGUGAGAUACGUAGGCUCAACCCUCAUCGGGUCCAACCCUCCCUUUUAUAAAAAUAGACCAAAAAUGUUAAUAUUUUAAUUUUUAUCAUAAAUAAACGAGGUGAUACCGGUUUUAUCAAAAAUAGCUAAAUAUUCCCAAAUGGGGCGUCGGAAGGCUGACUUUGCAUAAACAGCCACCUAUGGUCAUAUUUUGACCCUCACAACCUUAAAUAUACGUCCUCGAGGCGGUGAAAAGUGGUGUUUGCAAUAUUGGGUCAUUUAUUUCAAUUUGAAAAUAAGAAAAGAAUUACAAAUAAGUUGGGUGAUGCGUUUUGUCAAAAAUAGGCAAAUGUUCCCAAACGGGGCGCCGGAAGGCUGACUUUGUAUAAACAGUCACCUCUGGUCAUAUUUUGAUUUUUGACCCUCACAUCCUUAAAAUAUUCAUCCUCGAGGCGCUGGAAGGCUGUGUUUGCAAUACCGGGUCAUUCAUUUUAAUUUGAAAAAAAACAAGAAAAAGAGUCAGUGGUCAAGUGAAUACCGUUCAGAUUUUAGGUCAAAAUUGGCAUAGGGGAAGGAAUCUGUCAUUUUGUUUUGGGGUUUGUAUUUCUUUUUAUUAGAUUAUAUAGGUCGUUUGAUUUUCGAGUCUAUAUUUCAUCGUUAAGUUGGUCAGUUUUGUUGUUAUUAUGAAAAUGAAAAAUUCCAAAAAAAUAUUUUAUUGUCGUUUACCUUUUAUUUGCAAGAACUACGCACGGUCUGAUUCAUGCGGGGUCAUGAUACGUAGGCAAUCUCCAUAAGAUUCGACCAAACCCAAAAAUAAAAGAAAAAAAGGAAAAAGAAAAAAUAGAAAAUGGAAAAGAGAAAUUGAAAAAUGGAAAAGAUGUUGUUAAUAAUAAGGACCGACUCCAUCCAUUCUAACAGGUUUUGUUUUGAAUUGUGACGAACGUUCAGGUGGUUGGUUGUGGUAAGCUGGAAACACAAGAUCCAAGGAAAAUGAUAACUGACAUCGAAGUUGUUACCAGUGCUCAAGUGACUUAGGGUCAGAGGAUUCAACAAGGGUCUACUGUCGUUGAGGAAAAUAGAACACUGAAACAACAAAUAAACAAAAUGCGUCAAGCCUGGGCCAAUGGCCAGGGGCAGCCUUCUCAUGAGUUACAAUUUGCUAUACAGAAAGAACAGUACCACUCUCCUGAAUACCACUCGUACUUGUUUGUGCUUCCUGCAAACAUCGAGAAGCCUGCCCGAAAGAGAGUACAGGAAGAAAUAACCCAAAGAGUGAAAAGAUUAGAACAACGGUUGGAAAACAUGCAAGCAUUGGCAAGUCAAAAGAGUGAUGCCUUCAAAGAUCUAUGCAUGUUCCCCGAUGUCCACUUGCCGCCUGGUUUCAAGGUUCCCAAAUUUGAAAAGUGCAAUGGACAUGGAGCCUGAAAAGGUAUUGCAACAAAUUGAGAAGUGUGGGAGAAAAUGAACAAUUGCUUAUAGCUUAUUUUGGGGAAAGCCUCUCGAGAAUAGCAUUUGAAUGGUUUAAAUGGACAUGGAGACCCCAUAGCCCACCUAACAAGGUAUUUCAACCAAUUGAGAGGUGUGGGAAAAAAUUAAGAAUUGCUUAUAGCUUAUUUUGGGGAAAGCCUAUCAGGAGUAGCAUAUGAAUGGUUUUUGGAUCACAACACAUCUUGCUGGUACGUCUGGGAUGACAUGGCAUGGGCCUUUGACAAACAGUUUCAGUACAACAUCGACAUCGCUCCAGACGGUAUUUCCCUUUCUGACCUGAAAAAGAAGCCAACAGAAAGUUUCAGGGAAUAUGCCAUCAAAUGGAGAGAGCAGGCAGCUAGAGCUAAGCCACCCAUGUAACCUGAAAAAGAAACCAACUGAAAGUUUCAGAGAAUAUGCCAUCUAAUAGAGAGAGCAGGAAGCUAGAGCUAAGCCACCCAUGGAUGACCACGAGUUAAUCACUAUCUUUCUACAGGCUCAAGAGCCAGAUUAUUUUCAAUACAUGACAUCCGCAGUGGGUAAAUCCUUCCCGGAAGCAAUCAAAAUGGAAGAAAUGGUGGAGAACGCUCAUAAGACAGGCAGAAUUAUAAGUCAAACAGCUCUCAAAGUUGCAGCUCAGGCUGUCCAAAUUGAAUCUAGUAACACGAAUGAGAGGGAUGAUGAAAUCAUGAUGAUAUCAGGGUCGAAAAGAGGUCCUAGGAGAACAUCUCGAAGGUAUGUGCAGCCUCUUAAGGUUUUCCAUGACCCCCUAAGCAUUACUAUCCACCUUCGAACCCCCCAUACUCUUUUGAUCCUUCCCAGUAUGUUGCCUAGCCAUCAAAUCACCCAAGAAAGCAAGCACGAGUGUCACAAAAUCUCCAUCAGCCUCCGCAAAAUUUUAAUUACCUUAUAACCCACAUCCAAUUCAAGGGUAUAGAAGGGAACAAAAGUUGAAAAAUAGUUUUACACCAAUAGGAGAGUCAUAUGCAAGCUUAUUUGAGAAGUUAAAACAACAUGACAUGAUUGCACCCAUUCCUCCAAAUCAGGUGGACCGACGUGCGAGAAGCUUUGACUUAUCUAAAAUGUGUGAAUACCACUCCAACGCUCUGGGGCACAAUGUGGAAAAUUGUCGGGAUUUGAAAAGGAAAAUAGAAAGAAUGAUUCAAGAAGGGGUAAUUGUGGUUAAUGACAAUGAUAGGGAGCAUGCGAAUCCUCUUGGGAACUUGCUGACUGAAGUUGAUGAUAUUGAAGUUGGUAAUGGUCUUGGCAAUAUUGAUGCAGAACUCAGUGGCUAAGAUGUCGAGCUUGGUAAUUGGAAAGACGCUUCAUCUCUUGGCUAGCUGGAGAGAAGUCUUGAUGGUUUAUUUUAUUGUCAUUUCUGUUGUCCAGGUUAUUUGCAGGGUUGUAAUCCAAAUAUUGUCUUGUGUUCAAACCCUCCUAUCCUUUCAUUUUUUGUCUAGCGUGUUUAGUCGUAGUGGUUUGGCUAGAGUUGUCUAGGUUUGUUUCAGUUCAUUCUAAGGUUGCACUCCAGUUUGUAUUGUUUUGUUUUGUUAUUCGAAUUGUUUCAUCGUUUGUCUAAUGCAAAUUCCAAUAAUUUGUUACUCCUAGUCACUUUCUUUGUUUAGUUCUUUUCUAUCCUUUUAUUUUGUCCUUUACUGGUUCUAGUAACAUGAUAUGCACGCAUAAUUCUCUGACUGACCUUUAAAAGCUACCAUAGUCGGGAAACAAUGAAACCAUUUUGAAGAAAACGAGGGCAUUUGAGGAAAUAAGAAUAGAUUUGGACGCUGUGAGAUUGUUUGGCGCCCGAACCAUGUGAAACUGGGGCAAGUAAAACAUGAAAAUCCCCGCAAAAGCAAGUUGGCCAAAUUGAAAGGGGACCGGUCGUGGUAAUAAGAGUAAGAGUGUUGCUCAAGUUAUAUCUGACAAAUGUAGAAGGGAAAUGUGUUAAAUGGCCGUCAAUUCCGAUACCGUCAAGAAAUGAUUUAUGUAUUCUGAUUGCACUUGUUUGUAUUUGGCGUAUUUUGAAGUCUGAAAUGACGAAGGCAUUUUGUUAAGCUAUCUAAAUACUUUACCCUUUUGUGACCCUCUUUGAGCUUUAUUUGUAUUCUUUCAUACCCCUAUUUCGAAAUCAAUAGCACAAUCAAUGAAACGCAAAUGCCAAAAAUAAGUAAAUGGAAAAAGAGAGAAAAAGAAAAGGAAAGAAAGGAAAAAGAAAAAUAAAAAGGAAGAAGAUAAAAGGAUAAAGAAAUGAACAAAAGGAAAAGAAAACAAAGAAAAGAAAAGAAAAGAAAAGAAAGACAGAGAAGAAAGAAGAUAAAAAAUGAAGAAAAGAAAGGAAAAAGCAAGAAAUACAGAAAGAAAAGAAGAGAAAGAAAAUCAAAACAACAUAGUUUCUAUGACGUGAACUACGUUUGACUUGAUCCCAAAAGGGUACGUAGGUAGUCUCUCUGAGGUUCAGUCAUACCAAAAUAAAAUUCCAAAAGCCCCCAAGCAAGAAACUAGGGCAGAAGUUGUGAUUGUUGAAAUAAAUCGGAUUCCGAAAGUUGUAGUUUUAACCCCAUUUUGAAUUGUUUUGAGCCUUUAUAUCCUUUAUUUCUAACCCUAUCCAAAAGCCCACAUUACAGCCCAAAUGAAGACCUUCCGAUCAGUCUUUAAGAAAUGUCUGGUCAAGCAGGUGAUAGUAAUUCGUAUCAGGGGCAACACUCUGGUCCAAACAAGGAAAGUAAAAGUUAAAGAAUCUUCGUGAUGAGAACCUUUAUGGGCACCGCAAGGUGAUGAAGUUGAGAGAAAAGAAACAAAAUGAGAGAUUCUUAUUGGUGAAAACCUUCACAGGCACCUUGAGGCAAUGGUAAGUUGAGAGAAAAAACAAAUGAGAGAGGUUUGACGGUGAAAACCCUUUGGGCACUACAAGCCGAAUAAGAAAUGCGAAUCAAAUUGGGUAAGUAGAGCAUUGAAGCCCAGUUUCACAGCGAAAGGUACAACAAGAGCUGAACGUCAGAAUUGAUUGAUAGAAUAUCUAUAAAUGCAUGUCAUGGUCGUUAGAGUUGGUAUCCACAUUCGAUAAGUUUCUACUUUAGGACUCAUCUCUUUCCUUUUCCUUCACUCCGUUCCUCUGUUUUGUUCAUUUCAUCUUUCUGAGUCUGUCGGUUAUAACAAGUGAGAAAUGACUUCAAAAUCGGCCACCAGCUAUCUAAUUGCACAAAAAUGGGAUUUGGCUAGCGUAUCAAAGUGUCACAAGUCAAGAAAAACAACAAGUGCACUGAGCUGGUAAUACUCAACAUGCUUUGGGGGAGAAAUAAAAUUCAAGGUCAAUGGGCCAAGGGGCUCAAUUUAGAAGUACAACAUACUGUGGGUAAUAAUCAACAUGCUUUGGGGUGAGGCACAAGAAUUGGUUAAAAUCAGUACAGAAAUAGUGCAACAAACAGAAGACAUAGGGUCUGAAUGCAGAAAAGGUAUGUUUGGUGACUUAGAUGAUGGAGAAAGUGGUUAAUCAGUGAACAUGCAAAGCAUGGAAAGGAGAAAAGGAAAGUCAUCCCAGCGGGAGUACCACAACCAACCACCGCACUUCAAACUGACAAAAUUUUCUUUGAUUUAAAACAGGGGCAUAGAAAUGCUAUUGAUGGCGGAAAGGUAUGCUACAGAAGGAUUAUCAAACUGGGGUAGAAAAGUUUUUGUCGUAUUAAAAAUUUUCUUGAAGUUGGAUACCCAUCUGGAGAACAUGAAGGUCAACACAACUUUAUUUUACAAUGAAGAAUAGGGAAAUAGUUUUCAGAAAAGAAACACCAGUUUAAGAAAAGUACUUUUCGGAGGAAUGAAACACAAGCUUUUUGGGAAGUAGUUUUUUAAGGAGGACAACACCAGUUUUAGGGAAGCAGUUCUGAAGGAAGUUAAUUCAAGAAGAUAUACAAAACAAGUUUCGAAGGAAAAUGGUUAAUAGAAAAUCUUAGUCUGAUGAAUUUUUUACCUAAGAUAAAAAAUCUUAGUCUGUUGAAUCUUUCACCUAAGAUAAACGCAUAAGUUGGAAAAAGAAAGGAAUGCAUAAUUUGGGGAAAAAGAAAGGAAGGCACGAUUUGAAAAAGAAAGAAAGGAAUGUUUGAAUUUGAAGGAUUAAGAAAGUCCGAAUUCAAAAAUGGAACUAGUACGAUGAAAUAUCUCCUAGAGUCAAAAACUCAGUCCGAUGAAUCUUCCUCCCGAGAUCACAGAAAAAUUGACCUAGUAUGAUGAAUUAUCUCCUAGAGUCAGAAUCCUAGUCUGUUGAAUCUUUCACCCAAGAUAAAAAUCUUGGUCUGAUGAAUUUUUCACCUAAGAUAAAGAUAAAAAUCUUAGUCUGUUUAAUCUUUCUCCUAAGAUGAUAAUCUUAGUCUGAUGAAUUUUUCACCUAAGAUCAAAGAUAUAAAAGUCUUAGUCUGUUGAAUCUUUCUUCUAAGGUAAAAAUCUUAGUCUGAUGAAUUUUUCACCUAAGAUAAAGAUAAAAAUCUUAAUCUGUUGAAUCUUUCUCCUAAGAUGUAAAUCUUAGUCUGAUGAAUUUUUCACCUAUGAUAAAUUAUAAUUUUAAGGUACAUUUUAUUCUUUAAAUUUUCAAAGUGACUUUUUCAAUCUUAUCACAAUUCAAGUUUUAGUUCUUAUUAGUAUGUGGUAACAAGCACUCAGUUUUUCAAACCGGCGCAGAAAAUUUUCUUCGUUUUGUCUUGUUUUUGGGAAGUCAAGACCC
rnacentral:lncRNA from 1 species